UCACUGCUCUCAAUAGUGAUCACAGUUGUGCAGAACUGAGAUCUGAAUGCUGGUUGUGGUUGUGCAGAGCUGAGACCUGAAUGCUGGUUUCUACAGUGGAUUUGUCACAUGCCCACACUGUGGAUAAAGGCCUGGCCCCAGGCUCCACUCGGGACGACCCUGAAGGGGGGUGCCAGCUCCAGAGCUUCCCCGGGGACCAGCGGUUAGGGCAUCACUGCCCGACGACUCCCUCUACCCCACUGGCCUUCCUUCUCUCCCUUCACAGACCCUAAACCCUCGGUGGGAAUGAAGACAAACACACAGCUUUCCAUGACACAGAGUGACGGGUGUGGGAGAGGCAGCCGCCGGCUGCCGUAGGAAUCCAGAGAAAUGAGACUCAAUUAGACACCUCCUCAGAAGCCCCGUAUCCUCCUGCUCCCACUGGCCUAGCCAUGCCUCAAGAUCACAGGCUGGUCCUUUCCUUCACCAACACACUGGCAUCCCCCUCUUUGGGAAUUCCAUGUCUUACUUUCUUGUUAAUGCACCUGUUUUUGUGGAGCACCUACUCCAAUAUCUGUGGACUCAUGCAUUUCUUUGGUUCUGGAAAAUUCUCACUUACUUUCUCUUUAGACAUUCUCUCUCCCAUUCUCUCCUCUGGGAGUUUUGAUUAAAGAUAGGUUGGGCCUUCUUGUUCAGUUUCUCUACGUUUUUAAUUCGUCAUUUGUGUUUUCUGUCUUGAUUUUCUGAAUAAUUUCUCCUGUCUUGAGUUUAUGAAGUCUCACUUCAGUUAUGUCUUAUAUUUCAACUUUAUAUAUUUUUAUUUCUACAAGUUCUUUUUGUUUUUUGUUUUUUUUUGAGAUGGAGUCUCACUCUGUCGCCCAGGCUGGAGUGCAGUGGUGUGAACAUGGCUCACUGCAGCCUCAACCUCUGGGAUCAAGUGAUCCUCCCACCUCAGCCUCCUGGGUAGCUACAACUGCAUAUGUCCAUCAUCACGCCUGGGUAAUUACUAUUAUGUUUUAAUUUUUUGUAGAGAUGGGGGGGGGUCUCACUAUGUUGUCCAGGCUGGUCUCGAACUCCUGGACUCAAGCAAUCCUCCUGCCUCAGCCUCACAAAGUGCUGAGACUAUGGGCAUGAGCCACUGCACCAGGCCUAGUUGGUUUUUAGAAUUCACCUUUCCUCUGUUUUUGAAAACUGAGCUGGCAUUUCCUGUCUUCAGACUACUGGCCUCUUUUCUUUCUUUUUUUUUUAAAACAGAGUCUCACUCUGUCCCCCAGGCUGGAGUGCAGUGGUGCGAUCUUGGCUCACUACAACCUCUGCCUCCCAGGUUCAAGCAAUUCUUGUGCCUCAGCCUCUCGAGUAGCUGAAAUUACAGGGGCCCACCACACCUGGCUAAUUUUUGUAUUUUUAGUAGAGACAGGGUUUCACCAUGUUGGCCAGGCUGGUCUCAAACUCCUGACCUCAAGUGAUCUGCCCUCCUCGGCCUCCCAAAGUGCUGGGAUUACAGGUGUGAGCCACCACGCCCAGCCUCUCUUUUCAAUUCUCUUGGUUUCUUAGGUGUUUUUGCAUUUGACCUGUGCCGAGGCUCUCACGUUCUUUCACUUUCCCUGGUUAGAAAUUUUCUAGUUCUGAAAGUGUAAACCUAACUAAAUUGACUCAAAGGUUUCUACCCUCCCUCUCUUAUCUGAAGAUUGGAAAUCCUAUGAUGUGAGGAAUAUGGUCAUGGAAUUCAUAAAUCAAAGUUGAAGUAACUUUGGCAGACCAGUCAGAUGAGCUGGUGAAGACCCAGGACUGAUCUGAUUAAAAAAAUCAGCCCCCCAUGUGGAAUGAAUAGGGUUCAGGUGAAACCUCCAGACCAGAAAAGGGGAGAGGGAGGGUCCUAACUCCCAGGCCGUGUGCUAAACACGGUACAGAUCCACAGCCACCAAAAGUAUCGGGCAUUGUAUUGUGGCCCGAGUAGUACUGGGGAUAGCUGCCUCCAACUAGUUUAGUAACCUAUGGAGCUCAAUAGUUGUUCAUUUCACAAUCAGGUGCCUGCCUCCCUUGGGCCUCCCUGCUGCGCCUGGCCACGUGGAAACCCCUGUAGCUCCCUGGCUGUGCAGGAGCAGCCACAGUGUGCCCCUCCCAGGACCACCAUCCCCCUCACUGUCUCUGAGGCACCUGCGUGGACCGGGUCUGGAUUGAGUCUCAUUUCUCUGGAUUCCUACGGCAGCCGGCGGCUGCCUCUCCCACACCCGUCACUCUGUGUCAUGGAAAGCUGUGUGUUUGUCUUCAUUCCCACCGAGUCUGAGCCACUCGAGGUCAGGGCCAUGACCGUGAGCUACAGGUCCUCGGCGCCCAGUGUGAGCCGUGUACAGUAGAGGCCGACUGACGUCUUGGAGGCAGAAGUGAGUACGUAACUGGCAACUGCUUAAAGUCGGCCGGGCCAAGGUUUACAGACCGGGAGGAUCACCAGACGCGGGUGGGGCACAGUGGGGUGGGGGGAGGUUCCCAAGGCCACUCAUCAAUGGAGUCUGGAGGUGGCUUCCUAGGGGUAGCCUCUGAAACGUUCUGGAAAAACCUCGUCCUGUCACAACGUGGCUAUGAGGGGACCCUCACCUGGAGGUCUUGGGUGAUGUGUUUGUUAGUUUCACAGCCACACAUCAGCAUGGGCCUGUGUCUCCCAGGCCACACGUCGGCAUGGGUCUGUGUCCCCCAACCCACGUGUCAGCAUGGGCCCGUGUCCCCCAACCCACGCUUCAGCACGGGGCAUGUCCCCCAGGCCACGCGUCGGCAUGGGCCAUGUCCCCACACAGGUGAGUCCCUGAUGCAGGUUGGGUCCCCGGGGAAGCUCACUCAGAGACAGAAGAGUGUUUAUUGGUGGCAGGGCAGGGCUCUUGGGUUUAGGGUCUGUGAAGGGAGAGAAGGAAGGCCAGUGGGGUAGAGGGAGUCGUCGGGCAGUGAUGCCCUAACCGCUGGUCCCCGGGGAAGCUCUGGAGCUGGCACCCCCCUUCAGGGUCGUCCCGAGUGGAGCCUGGGGCCAGGCCUUUAUCCACAGUGUGGGCCGCCACCGGGUGCAGGUGCCCAGGAGGGGGCGUGUUAUGGGUUGAAUUGUGUCCCUCCAAAAAGAUACGUUCAAGUCCCAAGCCCCGCUACCUGUGAAUGUGACAAAUCCACUGUAGAAACCAGCAUUCAGGUCUCAGCUCUGCACAACCACAACCAGCAUUCAGAUCUCAGUUCUGCACAACUGUGAUCACUAUUGAGAGCAGUGACUGUUACAUGGGUUUAGAGACACGUUGUGGGGAUUAUACGACCACGUAUUACUGUGCAAAAAGACGUCACUCAAGCCCAUUAGUGCAGAGAUUCCUUUAACUGUAGAGGAUUAAAUCAAGGAAUCAGAGAUUGUUUACGCUGGAAGGGACUUUGAGGUGUUCACUUAAUUGGAAAGCAGGUCAUCGUGGGCCCUCCAUGGGUGUUGGUAUCCACUGAAACUCCAAAUCCCAUCCAGGGGAGCUGACACAGGCACCAGGUGUAAGGCCCCACCCCAGCCGGGCUCCCCUCUGCGGGCAAGCCUGGGGCCUGGCUGGGAAGCCCAGCAUGGUGCGUGCGAAUGCUGUGGGGGGGGGCGCCCCAAACUCCCCCUCCAAGACAGAGGCACAGGCAUCGCCUCCCAGGACUCACCUGGAGGGGGCUGCCUGGCGUGAGCUCAUGCUCCUCCCGUGCCACCUGCUUUAGUGGCUGAUUGCUAUGCCAGGUAACGUCAGGGCCACCUGCCUGAUUCAGGCUGCUGUGCAGCCGCCCAGACUCAGAGCUGCCUGUGAGCCUGGCUGAGGCCUUUACUGCUCAUUCCCACUGCCCUCACCCCUGGCGGGGGCUGGUCUCCAGGGCACCCCCAUAAUCCACUUGCACCCAGAUCUCUGUCUCCGAGUGCACUCCAAACCCAGCCCCAGCGUGUGGACAAUGGCAUCCUCACAUGCUGGGGUAAUUGAUGGCUGUAUCUGCUCCGAGACGGCAGAGUGGGCUAGCUCCCAGCCCCAAGAAACGGCCCUCUGCGUCCUCCACACACACUCAGCAUAGGCUCAGCAGCCUGGAGAAGAAGAAAGCCGCUCUGCUCCGUGCUCUGGGUGCCCAGCCCUGUGAACAGCACGGGGUGUCCCCAGGGCUCACUGUGCCUCCUC
rnacentral:lncRNA from 1 species